GCCAGGCAGUGAUGUUUUUUUCGUUCUUUGUGGAAGUGGGUCAGCAGCGGGAUCGGGAUCCGGGAUCGGGAUCGGGAUCGGGAGGGGGUCCUCGCCCCCUUGGACGGGGGGCCGGAGACGGAUUAUUCUCUGCGGGGCAACACCAACAAUUUCCCUUCAGUGAGUACUGAAGCCGGACCCAAGCGGGGAGGUCUGACGUUGUGUGGUGAGUUAACUUUCCCGAACUCAAACAAGAGAAAAUCUGCAGAUGCUGGAAAUGCGAACAACGCGCACAAAAUGCCGGAAGAACUCAGCAGGCCGGGCAGCAUCUAGGGGAAGAAUACAGUCGACAUUACCGGACGAAACCCUUCGGCAGGACUGGAGAAUAAAAGACCUGCGGUGAGAGGUUUAUUGGAAGAAAAACCCCAACUGGAAGCAAACCAUGGCUGAAGAUGUGGGAAUAGCAACAAGUGAACUGGCCCGAGGACUGAGAGCAUCAACUGGAGAGAACAACACUGAAUCAGCUGACUUGAAGUUCCCACUGAGUCAGUGAGGAGGAAGUUUGUUAGACCUGCAGUGAGAGGUUUGUUGGAAGAAAAACCCCAAAUGGAAGCAAACCACGACUGAAGACGGGAACAGCAAUAAGUGAACCAGCCUGAGGACUGAGAUCAUAAACUGGAGAGAACAACUGCCUCAGGAGAAUCGGAGAUUCCAUUGAUUCAGUCAGGAGAAAGUUUGGUCGAAUUGCGAGUUCAACACUCAACCGGGCACGGAUGGAAAGCGUACAAGGGAGAGGCCCGACUGUAUUCGAACCCGGGGACCUCCGUUACUGAGUCCGGCGCUGACGUCACUACGACACCAGGACCUUGGGCAAGACUCCCAGAAGAUUAACUUCCGGGCUGAGUUGUGGUAAAGAAGGCAAAUACAACGCUGGCUUUAUUUAAAGUGAAGUAGAAUAUAUUAGCAAGGAGAUAAUGCUGAUUCUUUACAAGACACUCCUCAGGCCGCACGUCAGAACAUAAGAAAUGGGAGCAGGAGUCGGCCAUUGGCCCACUGAGUAUGCCCCGCCAUGCAAUAAGAUCAUGGCUGAUCCGUCAGGAAACUCAGGUCCAUCUACCUGCCUUUUCCCUAUAACCCUUCAUUACCUUAUUCUGCAAAAUCCUAUCUAACCGUAUCUUAAAUAUACUUCGUGAGGAAACCUCAACUGCUUCCCUGGACAGAGAAGUCCGCAGAUUCACCAUUCUGCGGGAAAAACAGUUUCCCCUCCUCUCCGUCCUAAAUCCUCUCUCCGGAGUCUUGAGGCAAUGUCCCCGAGUUCUAGUCUCAUCUACCAAAGGAAACAACUUUCCUACUAUCUUAUCUAUCCCUUUCAAAAUUCUAGGUAUUUCUAUAAGAUUCCCUUUCAUUCUUCUGAACCCCAGACAGAAAAGUCCCAGGUGACUCAAUCUCUCCUCAUAGGUUAACCCCCUCAUCCCUGGAAUCAAACUGGUUCACCUUCUCUGCAUUGCCUCCAAAGCCAGUACUGUAUAUCCUUCCUCGUGUACGGAGACCAGAACUGGACACAGUACUCCAGGUGCGGCCUCACCUGUACCCUGUAUAGUGGCAGCAUUACCUCCCUGCUCUUGAAUUCAAUCCCUCUACCAAUGAAGGCUAACAUUCCGUUAGUUAGAGUAUGUGGGACUUCUAUCUUAGAAAAUGUGCGUUGUCAUUGGAGAGAGUCCAGAGGAUCUUCAAGAAGACGAUUUCGGGAAUGAAGGGGUUUAGCAUGAGAAGCGUUUCCCAGCUUUGGGCCUGUACUCCUGCACUGACUUAUGUUUAGUAAAUGUGGGUGGAGGGGUUCAGAAGCUGCAGAAGGCUGUAAAUCUCGUCACCUCCAUCUUGGGUACGAGACUACAAAGUAUCCAGGACAUCUUUAGGAAGCGAUAUCACAGAAGGGCAGCGUCCAUUAUAAAGGACCUCCAGCACCCAGGACAUGCCCUUUCCUCACUGUUACCAUCAGGUAGGAGAUAUAGAAGCCUGAAGGCGCACAGUCAGUGAUUCAGGAAAAGCUUCUUCCCCUCUGCCAUCCGAUUCCUGAAUGGACUUUGAAAGCUUUGGACACUCUUCAAUAUACAGUAUUUCUGUUUUUACACAUUUUAAUAAAAUAUUCAUCACACAUAAUUGAUUUACUUGAUUAUUGUUUUAAUUAGUUUAUUAUUAUUAUCUAUGUCAGAAUAUGAAUUGCAUUGAACUGCUGUUUGAUUAUUGUUUUAAUUCAUUUAUUAUUAUCUAUGCCAGAAUAUGUAUUGCAUUGAACUGCUGUUUGAUUAUUGUUUUAAUUAAUUUAUUAUUAUUAUCUAUGCCAGAAUAUGAAUUGCAUUGAACUGCUGUUUGAUUAUUGUUUUAAUUCAUUCAUUAUUAUUAUCUAUGCCAGAAUAUGAAUUGCAUUGAACUGCUGUUUGAUUAUUGUUUUAAUUCAUUCAUUAUUAUUAUCUAUGCCAGAAUCUGUAUUGCAUUGAACUGCUGCUGCUGUCAACAAAUUUCAAGCCAAAUGCCGGUGGUAAUAAACCUCAUCCUGAAUCUUGAAUCUCACUGAAACCCACUGAAUGUGGAAAGGUCCGGAUAGGGUGGAUGAGGAGAGGCCUUUUCCUAUGGUGGGGGUAGCCAUAACAGAGGGCACAGCCUGAAAACUGAGGAGCAACCUUUUAGAGCAGUUGAGGAGGAUUUUAUUUAGUCAGAGAGCAGUGAAUCUGUGGAAUUCUCUGACACAGACGGCGGUGGGGGCCAGGUCUGUGGGUACUUUUCAGGCAAAAGCUAAUAGUUUAUGGAUCAGUCGAGGCAUUACAGGAUAUGCCGAGGAGACAGGUGCAUGGGGUUGAGUGAGAACCGGGAUCAGCCAUGAUAGAACGGCGGAGCAGUCUCAAUGGGUCUGACUGGCCUAAUUCUGCUCCUAUGUCUGAUAGUCUUAUACUGCGAGUGUCUCACACAGUGAAGAUUGACACAAAAUACUUAUUACAUUCAGCCGCGAUUUCUUUGCUCCAUUACUAACACGCCAGCAUCGUCUUCCAGUGGUACAAUAUCAACUCUUCCCUCUCUUUUACUCUUUAUAUAUCUGAACAACUCUUGAUACCUGAUAUUAUUGGCUCAAUUACCGUAAUUUUUCAUCAUGUCUCUCCUGUGUGUGUGUGUGUGUGUGUGUGUGUGUGUUUUUUUUUGUUGUCUCCUGUUGGGUAUGUAAAAGAUUUCCAUUCCUCUCACUUCCCACUGUUUUCUUGCUAUAUUACGUGACCCCGCUUUUGCUUUUAUCAAAAACAGGAGAAAAUCUGUGGAUGCCGGAAAUCCAAGCAACUCAUACACAAAAUGCUGGAGGAACCUGGGAGGCCAGGCAGCAUAAAUGGGAAAUAGCAAACAGUCGACGUUUCGGGCCCAGACCCUUCAUCAGGACUGGGAACAAGGAAGAUGAGACGUCAGAGGAAGCAGUGUGAGGGUUGGAGGGGUGGAAGACGUGGUAGGUGAUGGGUGAACCUGGGAGACGGGGAGCAGUGAAGGAAAAAUCUUCUUUGGAUUUUAUUUCCUUAACGAUUCUCGAAAGAUCAUUGCUAAUGCCUCCACAUCACUUCAGCCACCUCUUUCGGAUCUCAGGGGUGUACACCAUCUGGUCCAGGUGACCUAUUUACCUUCAGACCAUCUCUGUUUCCCGAAGAACCUUCUCCCGAGUAACGUAACUUUACACAUUCUGACCACUAACAUCUGGGACUUCCAUAUUCCUGCCAGUGUCUUCGAGAGAUAAGAGUGAUGUACAAGACUUAUUCAGUUCAUCUGCCAUCACCUUGCACCCCCACCCCAUUACUAGCUGUCCAGCAUCAUUUUUCAGUGGUCCGAUAUCCACUUCAGCCUCUCUCUUACAAUAUAUGUACCUGAAGAAAAAGUUGGUAUCCUCUUUAAUAUUGCGGGCCAGCUCAUCUUUGUAUUCCAUCUUUGCUGCCUGACAAUGACGGAAAACGUAGUUUACUUUAUUCAAUGUAGUCUUGUUUUUUUUUAAUAUGUUUCAAUUGUGCUUAAGCCCAAAGUGCAUAGAGAUAUGUAGGUAAUACAUGAUACUUAUGGGGUGUUAGCCUUCAUAAGUGGAGGAAUAGAGUUUAAGUGUCGCGAGGUAAUGAUGCAGCUCUAUAAAACUCCAGUUCGGCCACACUUCGAGUACCGUGUCCAGUUCUGGUCGCCUCACUAUAGGAAGGAUGUGGAAGCAUUGGAAUGGGUACAGAGGAGAUUUACCAGGUUGGUGCCUGAUUUAGAUAGUAUGGGUUAUGAUCAGAGAUUAAGGGAGCUUGGGCUUUACUCUUUGAAAGAAGGAAGAUGAGAGGAGACAUGACAGAGAUGUACAAGAUAUUAAGAGGAAUAGACAGAGUGGACAGCCAGCGCCUCUACCCCAGGGCACCACUGCUCAGUAUAAGAGGACAUGGUAAGGGGAGGGAAGUUCAAGGGGGAUAUUAGAGGAAGGUUUUUCACUCAGAGAGUGGUUGGUGCGUGGAAUGCACUGCCCGAGUCAGUGGUGGAGGCAGAUACACCAGUGAAAUUGAAGAGACUACUAGACGGGUAUAUGGAGGAAUUUAAGGUGGGAGGCUAUAUGGGAGGCAGGGUUUGAGGGUCACCACAACAUUGUGGGCCGAAGGGCCUGUAAUGUGCUGUACUAUUCUAUGUUUUAUAAUCAAUACAUUAUUUCAGAUAGGACAAUCCAUACGAACCAUUCGGAUAUAAUAUUACAGGAUUAAUAAGCAGGAACAACUCCCCCAAUAGAUAAAACCAUUCCAAACACAUACGUUCCUCAACCAGUGGAGCACCUCACCACAGGCAUUGUUUGUGUCAUCAGUCAGACAACCGAAAGAUUUUCUCUAUCAAUCAGCUUCCAAAUGUUGUUGACACGCCCCGCUGCUGAUUCCCUUCUCCUUAUCAUACGUUCUUACCCCGACCGUCGUCCAGAGCCCCAAACUCUGCCCUGUGCAGACCCGCCUCUGGUUUCUGACCCUGCUCCGUUGAACAUCCAAACAAUGGUUUCGCAUUCUGCUUUCAGUCUUUAGAGGACAGUGUGUUUUCAACAACACUUUAGAAGCAGGGGAAAUGACCCAUAAUGUGGAAAUGAGUCAUGAAUAAGGAGGGUAACUCCCAAAUUCAUUCUUCCUCAGCUCAGAGAUUUCAGGGGUAAAGAACAUCUCAGACAGAACUGCAGUCAGCUCACUUUCUUCAGUCUGCAGAAAAUUCAGGGAAACCACUUCACCCACAGGAUGGUGACUGUUUGGAACCCAUCACCACAGGGAGAGCAAGAGGUGAACAACAGGGGAGGACUUAAAAGGACUGUCCUGGAACAGAAUCACAGGCAGGGUCCAGCCGGCAUGAGUUGACCCUCCACUGUGCACAAGGAUCCCAAUGCAGGGAGUGCCAAGCAGACGGGCUGAGUAAGCGGCUGGACCACUCUGGGGACUGCAGAGACUGACCGGGUGCCCAAUAGGUUAAAAAAGGUCCAUUUCAUGAAAUAUAAACCAAGAAAUAAAAAGAAACCGGAAUUACCAGAAACACUCAGCAGGUAAGGAACAGCUUACAAUACAAUUCAAUUAAUAACAUUUCAUCAGAUUGAGUUCAAACAUUUUCAGUUUUUAGUGCAGAUCUCCAGCACAGCUGCCUGAUUUCCACUGUGCACGAGCACUCCCAGUACUCUUUGCUGCCAGUAAAAUGCUGCAGUGUGUCAGCCCGUCACUGUUCAUAAACUAGCACCUCCACAGCAAUGCACAACAGAACUAGGACCUGAUGACUCUCCGACAUUCCAAACAACAAUAACCGAUUCUGGAAAUGACUCAGCGAGGCCAAAGGUACAAAAGAACACUUCACAAUGAAGACAAGGUUUAGAAGAAAGUUUGCUGAUAUAUAACAUUGAGGAGGUGGGAUACAAGGCGGACUGAGGCUG